rnacentral:rRNA from 1 species
UACCAGCACCCCGAGUGGUCGGGACGAUUAUUGGGCCUAAAGCAUCCGUAGCCGGUCCUACAAGUCUUCCGUUAAAUCCACCUGCUUAACAGAUGGGCUGCGGAAGAUACUAUAGGGCUAGGAGGCGGGAGAGGCAAGCGGUACUCAGUGGGUAGGGGUAAAAUCCUCUGAUCCAUUGAAGACCACCAGUGGCGAAGGCGGCUUGCCAGAACGCACUCGACGGUGAGGGAUGAAAGCUGGGGGAGCAAACCGG